GAUAACCUCUCCACUUCAUUUACACUUGCAAUUAUUCUGAACAUCACAACUUGACUACAAAGAAUGAAAACAUUAGCAAUGUGCCUAGUUACUGUUUCUCCAAUAUGAUGACUUCUUCAUUUGUCAGCAUGUAACUGAUGUGAUCUCUCCUCUCCUCAAUGUUUCAACAAAUAUACCAUACAUCUUAUGAUUGCUCCAGCUGAAGACUGACCAGCCCAUCAUUACUCCACCUUUGGUGAGAUGAGACCCUGAUGGAUUACUGAAACAAUAAUCAAUUGGUAAGUGUGACUUUCAAUUUAUACUUAACUAUUUUCAUUCAUAAACUAUACUACUUGUGUAAGCACGCAAUGUGUCUCUUCCUCAGAAAGGAUGCAUACAAAAGUGGUAUAUGAUUGUAAUUACAAUGAAUUCUAACUGUGUGAUUAUGUAACUGAUGUGUCAUGUCUUCACAACAUGUAACCACGUAUUUAUCCCAUGACAACACCAUCACAGGAGAUAUCAGCCACUGCCAACUCCAGCCAGAAACUAAUGCAUGCUAAGCAGGUGUGUUAUAACUAUAUGUUGAUUGAUUCUCAUUAUGUGAACAUGUAACUAAUAUAUUGUCUCUUCUUUACAGCCUGUGACCAACCACUCAACCCAUGUAGCAAUCAAGACAACCCUGGAUGUGAAACCCACACAUUCCUCACAGGAAAGUUUCCUUAUCUGGCCCCAGGAAACAGGAUAUAAAUCUUUCCAGACUCGUUUACACUUCAGGUUACCUAAAUGACCCAACCGGAGGCUGACUAAACCUCUGACUCUUCAUGAUUGGUCAAUUCGGAGAACAGAGACAGAGUUUUUAUUACCUUUCAAACUGACUCCAUCGCUGACCAUCUAAAUAAACAUUGACGUCUCA
rnacentral:lncRNA from 1 species